GUAAUGGCAAGGAUGGAGGAAGUCAUGUAGCGAGACUCUUGAGCCUCCGAACAGAAACUUGGUAUAAGGCUAAAUGGGAAAGGGUAAGACAGCAUGACAAGUUGAAGCCCCAAUGGUAAACGUACUCCCCAAAACAGUAAGCCAAGAGGUUGUGGAAUCAGAAGGUUA
rnacentral:ncRNA from 1 species